GAGUUUGAUCGUGGCUCAGAUUGAACGCUGGCGGCAUGCCUUACACAUGCAAGUCGAACGGCAGCAUGAUCUAGCUUGCUAGAUUGAUGGCGAGUGGCGAACGGGGUGAGUAAUACAUCGGAACGUGCCCUGUAGUGGGGGAUAACUAGUCGAAAGAUUAGCUAAUACCGCAUACGACCUGAGGGUGAAGGUGGGGGACCGCAAGGCCUCAUGCUAUAGGAGCGGCCGAUGUCUGAUUAGCUAGUUGGUGGGGUAAAGGCCCACCAAGGCGACGAUCAGUAGCUGGUCUGAGAGGACGAUCAGCCACACUGGGACUGAGACACGGCCCAGACUCCUACGGGAGGCAGCAGUGGGGAAUUUUGGACAAUGGGCGAAAGCCUGAUCCAGCAAUGCCGCGUGUGUGAAGAAGG
rnacentral:rRNA from 1 species